GGCGGCGGACGGGUGAGUAACGCGGGGGUAACCUGCCCUGUACACGCGGAUAACAUACCGAAAGGUAUGCUAAUACGAGAUAAUAUGCUUUUAUCGCAUGGUAGAAGUAUCAAAGCUCCGGCGGUACAGGAUGGACCCGCGUCUGAUUAGCUAGUUGGUAAGGUAACGGCUUACCAAGGCGACGAUCAGUAGCCGACCUGAGAGGGUGAUCGGCCACAUUGGAACUGAGACACGGUCCAAACUCCUACGGGAGGCAGCAGUGGGGAAUAUUGCACAAUGGGCGAAAGCCUGAUGCAGCAACGCCGCGUGAGCGAUGAAGGCCUUCGGGUCGUAAAGCUCUGUCCUCAAGGAAGAUAAUGACGGUACUUGAGGAGGAAGCCCCGGCUAACUACGUGCCAGCAGCCGCGGUAAUACGUAGGGGGCUAGCGUUAUCCGGAAUUACUGGGCGUAAAGGGUGCGUAGGUGGUUUCUUAAGUCAGAGGUGAAAGGCUACGGCUCAACCGUAGUAAGCCUUUGAAACUGGGAAACUUGAGUGCAGGAGAGGAGAGUGGAAUUCCUAGUGUAGCGGUGAAAUGCGUAGAUAUUAGGAGGAACACCAGUUGCGAAGGCGGCUCUCUGGACUGUAACUGACACUGAGGCACGAAAGCGUGGGGAGCAAACAGGAUUAGAUACCCUGGUAGUCCACGCCGUAAACGAUGAGUACUAGCUGU
rnacentral:rRNA from 1 species